GCGCCCAUCUCUUCGCGUCCAAUACCUUACCUCCGACGCCUUCGUCAUCCCCAAAAUCCCACACUUCUGACCUCAUUCAUCUUCGUAUCCAAAAGCAUCGCUGAUCUCCGCCAAUCUCUUCGCCAUCCCAGACCUCACCGCCAGUGCCCUCAUCAUCCCAUUCCUCAGCAUAACGCUCAUCGCCCCUCCCGACUCCGUGAUCGCCUUACACCCCCUGUUCGUGCUCGCAACGAGACACCCCUCCGUCGUCGCUAGACUAUCGUAGAUCAUUUUCAAUAGGAUCCACGUCAACAAACUUACACAACCAAGUAUUUCAGGCGCCCAGAUGUUCAAGAAGCUCUUCAUGCCAAUGUCACAAAAUUGUCGCGUCCUUAUUCCCUCUGCAGAAACUCAUCUAUGAAAGAAUUCGCAUGUGGAUCUUCAGGCAAGC